rnacentral:lncRNA from 1 species
AUGUGUUUUAAUUUCAUGUAACUUAUUAUUUUACAUCAAAUAUCCUUUUAGGUUAGCUUUCCAUUUUUAAUUUGGAAUAUACUUCUAAAAAGUUAUUGCUCAAAAUAGAAGUGGUGGCCGUCACAAUUCAACCUGCUUAUUCCAUCUUGAUCCUUAAUUUAUCAAGUUAUUAAAUAUUCUUCUUUCUAUAGAUAUCUGCCAAGAUAUCAGCUCAACCAUAUUUUGUGACCUCUAAUUUAAUAAUGAAUGUAAGUUUCUCCUUAAAUCAAAGUUGUUGAAGAUAAUUUGAAUUGUCCAAUUACAGAAUGGAAAAGUAAAGUAGAUCAGUAGAAAACAGCUUUUCCAUUUUCAUAUUAUUAAACAAAUACCAUUAGCCUUUUCAGCAUUCCAAGCAAUCUACAUGCCAAGGACAAUGUUUUCCCUUUCUUUGUACACUUCAGAAGCACAAUCUCCAACAGCAUCGCUUGUUGAUUUAAUCAAUGGUUUCAUGUAUUUUAUGGCAUAGUCCUCUAUCACCUUAGCUUUCUUUGUACAAACACAUUUCUUUUCAUGUAAAGGACAAAAGCAAAUUACUUCAUUUUAAUCCCAGCAGAGGUAAAAUGCAGAGACCUGGAUAAACAAAGAGCCUCCUUCCCCAAGACCCUAUAGACUGGCCCCUCACCAGGCUGUCUUCACCCGUAUGGCUGCACUCCUUCCGUGAGCAAAGUGUCUCAUCUGCUUUGAUUCUAAUCACAGCACUGUUAUCUAAAUAUAAUUCUAAGUGAAUUCAUGCUUUCAAGCAUGCAAGAAAGGAAUCAAAAUCCACAAGCUGUGGGCUUUUGCUGAAACUUCA